rnacentral:tRNA from 2 species
AAUAAAGUGCCUGAUAAAAAGGAUUAUUCUGAUAGGAUAAAUUAUGUAAAUUAUUACCUUUAUUA